UACAUGUGGGGCAAGCGUUGUUCGGAAUUACUGGGCAUAAAGGGUGCGUAGGCGGCCCGUUAAGUCAGUGGUGAAAGCCUCCAGCUCAACUGGAGAACUGCCAUUGAUACUGGCGGGCUUGAGUACAGAAGAGGUAGGCGGAAUUGAUUGUGUAGCGGUGAAAUGCAUAGAUACAAUCAAGAACACCGAUUGCGUAGGCAGCUUACUAGGCUGUAACUGACGCUGAGGCACGAAAGCGUGGGGAGCGAACAGG
rnacentral:rRNA from 1 species